GUGCCAGCCGCCGCGGUAAUACGUAGGGUGCGAGCGUUAAUCGGAAUUACUGGGCGUAAAGCGUGCGCAGGCGGUUUUGUAAGACAGAGGUGAAAUCCCCGGGCUCAACCUGGGAACUGCCUUUGUGACUGCAAGGCUGGAGUGCGGCAGAGGGGGAUGGAAUUCCGCGUGUAGCAGUGAAAUGCGUAGAUAUGCGGAGGAACACCGAUGGCGAAGGCAAUCCCCUGGGCCUGCACUGACGCUCAUGCACGAAAGCGUGGGGAGCAAACAGGAUUAGAUACCCUGGUAGUCCACGCCCUAAACGAUGUCAACUGGUUGUUGGGGAUUAAUUUUCUCAGUAACGAAGCUAACGCGUGAAGUUGACCGCCUGGGGAGUACGGCCGCAAGGUUGAAACUUAAAUGAAUUGACGGGG
rnacentral:rRNA from 1 species